ACAACUGAUCAGUGAACAAAUAAAACGUCUUUUCACGCUAUUCCGUGUUUUGAGAAGAUGAUGUUUACUAGUUCACUACCUCAGUUCCUCGACUCGCACUUCCUUUCUUCAUUGGCUCCCCGGUUUGAUUUCUACCCUCCUGGUUGAACCCUUCUUUCUUCCUUCUUCCUCCCGGUUACACUUUUGCAAAUCUAGACUAGCCCUCCCCUAGUUUUAGGGAUCGGCGUAGAGGUAACGUUAGCUCGGACCGUAGAGGUAGAGAGAGGGGGAGUGGUGAAGAAGAGGGUGGAGGCCGGCGGCGGCGCCGGUCCGGUAGCACCGCCGCGCGGAGGCGCUGGAGCGAGGUGGUAGUGGGCGCGGUAGGUGGUGGGUGUGGUAGUAGAUAGGUAGUGUCGCGGUCGGUGGUCACGGGUGGAGCGCGCUGUAGAGGGAGGUCGGCCGCGCGGGCCGGUCUGUGUGGCGCGACGAAGAAGAAGGGAAGAAGGGGCGAAGAGACUUAGGGACAGACGACGAGGAAGAAGGGGCACGGGGACGACGACGAGCAGAUGUUGAGAGGGGCGACGAUAGGAAGAGGUUCGAGCGAAGGAGAGACUUAGGGAUGACGACGACGAGAAGAUGAAAGGGGAUGGAGCGACAACAAGACGAGGAAGAGGUUCGGGGGUGCGACUACGAAGAAGAGGAGUUGAAGGACGACGACGAGGAGAGGAGGCAGAACGACGACGAGGAAGGGAACGAGACGAAGAAGAGGACGACGACGAGAGAAGAACGGGUACGGAGACGACGACGAAGAGAAGAGGAUGUGGAAAAACGACGACGGAAGAGAGGGAAAGAGAGAGACUUAUGAGACAUUAAACUCUUCAUUCUUCGAAACAUUAUAAGUAUAAGAUAUUCACGUACAUUAGACGAUAUACAAGUCAAGCAUGAACAGUACACAAUUAAUCAUAAGACGAUGACAUACACACUCUAGAGAAUACACAAACAAGAGGAAUGACGUCUUUAAAUAAGUCAACAGGUACACAAUCGAGGUCAUGUACACGAUAUAUUUAUGUACACACAAAACACUACAUUUGGUACAAUCGAUCAAGUAGAGAUACCAUCAGUCAACACUCUAGUAAAUUAAAAGUCAGAGACAUAAUCGAGACAUGGACAUUAUAAACAACACUGUACUUCGUAAAAGUAGGGAUAGGUAAUAGAACAAAGAAGAGAGACAGUAUGUGAACAAUCUAUUUAUAUACACAAGAUCAUAACAACAAAGGGAAACCAGUAUAAACAUACGAACACAGUCACAGAUGAAAGAGUUCAUUUUGCUAUUAUGGUUUUUCUGACUUUCAUGUUAGACUUGGAGGGAAACAAAGACACAGUAAAGGAAACAACUACUAGAAUGAAUCAGAUCUAAAUUACAAGACGAAAGUAGUGGGUUAUAACAUAAUGGAUCGAAAUCGACUCGUAUCAACAGCAGCGGAUCAGGGACUCCUCUUGUGCUGUGGGCAUCAAAACCCGCAUUUUUGGGGUGAUGUGAGUGUUAUCUAGUAAAACCGCGGCAACGGCCCCUGAUAACAGCUCGCUAACACACUCCAAUAUCUGAUCCCAAAAGAACAAAAAGGGAAACACGAUAUAUACACACUAUAUAGAGAUUGGGGAUUGGGAACAAGUUCAAUAAAAGAGAAAGAAACGAAACAGUAAGACGUCCAAUAACGUAGAAGAGUCUAUACCGAAUGAUAAGUCUAGUAGUACGAAUACGCUCGUUGUGAUGUUUAUCGUGCCUUUCAUAAGUUCUGGACUAUUCAUUCUAAAGGGUAGCUAAUCUACUAAAUCGAGCCGUCGCUCUUCAUCAAAAACUCCUAUCCGGAUCGAGAAUACUGGGAAUAAGAUCUCCAGUAGGAAUACAACGAGGAUGUACGGUAUAAACACCUAAAGUCCCGGUAAGUGGGCGACUUACAGUCGUACCAAUGAGAGUGGGAGGUCUAACAAAACCGUACUCGAAGCGAGUUCUCGUAUCGAGUAUGGUUUUGUUAAUGAGUGUACCCACCGGACUUUUGGGCUUAUACAGUAUAUCCUUGUUGUUGGGACUCUAGAGUAGCAAACGGAGAUCAAUAGGUAACGUCCCUUAAUCCAUAUUACUCCUCUCGGUGUUGGUACGUGGUGUUGUCAAAAUAAGUGGAGGAUGAGUAUAUGGCGUCGUGGUCCUCUACACAGGUUACCUCAAUUUACCAGGAGGUAAACCAGUUGGUUGUUGAGGUCGUGGACAACACGUUAGAGUACACGUUCACGGGUGUGUUCUACUCAAGCUACUGUAUCUGUUCGAGUGUGAAAACUCAGAGCUCAAGUGAACCUCACGGCUCCUACUAGGAUAAUCCUUCCAAUAUGAUCUCCUUUACUUCUUCUAGUUCUCACCCUUCCUCGAUCACCUUCUUCAUUCCUUCUAACUCUUCUUGUAGUUGCGACCGUCAUGAUAGAGAAGGGAGGAACUCGACUCACAACGACCCUAUAGGGAACUCCACACACUCCAAAUUUGUGGCAGUGUAAGUCGACUCGUUCUAUCGUUCUCAGGUCUCCUUCUCUCUGGAGUCUAACUUCUACAUGAACUUCGGUUCCUUGUUCUACUAGAUCUCGAGUUUACGGGUUCACUAGUUGAACUUCUAGGUUACAGAAAGAGAGGGUUUCUUCAUUUUAUUCGACUACGUCAACUUCUACCUCUUGGACUCUAAGUAAACGGAUAAUAGUAUGUUCUCGCACUACACGGUCCAGAUGGAUUAGGAGAACUACAGUACGCAGGCAUAUCAAAGAAACGAUGAUGGAACGUAAUGUACUAAGGUAGUGAAUUCUAACUAAACUUUUGAGUAUACGAACCUAUGCUACUAUGUAUGUGACAACCGCCGUAACGAGUAUAAUUACUACUAGUGUGAAUAAAAGGAGUACGGUUUGGAUACGAAUUACUAUUUAUAGUAGGAGUACAAUCAUAACUCGAACGACUAAGGAUAGUAUGAGCAGUACAAGAAAUAUCGAUACGAAUACAUUAACCUAUGAGCUAACUACUGAACCUCCCAUAAUAGGGAUGGCGAACGUAGCAGAGAAAACACAUCAUAAGAAAGUCCAAAAACAAAGACGCAGCAAGUGAAGUACGACUGGUCCAAGCUCCACUGUAAGGAACCCUGGGACCACCUGAGUCUCGUACCCCUACUCCUCUUCGUUCCCCCGUGUGUACUUCUUCUCACUUCGACCUCGUACGUGCUCCUUCGUUUCCUAUUCUCGACGUCAACCACUCUACUAGAUCGCUUACGAUGUGAUAGUUUCGGGCCAACUGGGCGGUGAGUGGUAACGCACCACCGUGCGGCGAAAAGGGAGCUAGCGACCUCUUUUUAGUACCGUUCCGUGCCAAAAUUUAGCGGGUACUUUAGAAGUACUAGCGUAUUGUUUACAACAACCUCUCGGAGUUGUGAUACUAUGCUUUUCACGCUAUUCCGUGUUUUGAGAAGAUGAUGUUUACUAGUUCACUACCUCAGUUCCUCGACUCGCACUUCCUUUCUUCAUUGGCUCCCCGGUUUGAUUUCUACCCUCCUGGUUGAACCCUUCUUUCUUCCUUCUUCCUCCCGGUUACACUUUUGCAAAUCUAGACUAGCCCUCCCCUAGUUUUAGGGAUCGACGUAGAGGUAACGUUAGCUCGGACCGUAGAGGUAGAGAGAGGGGGAGUGGUGAAGAAGAGGGUGGAGGCCGGCGGCGGUGCCGGUCCGGUAGCACCGCCGCGCGGAGGCGCUGGAGCGAGGUGGUAGUGGGCGCGGUAGGUGGUGGGUGUGGUAGUAGAUAGGUAGUGUCGCGGUCGGUGGUCACGGGUGGAGCGCGCUGUAGAGGGAGGUCGGCCGCGCGGGCCGGUCUGUGUGGCGGCGACGAAGAAGAAGGGAAGAAGGGGCGAAGAGACUUAGGGACAGACGACGAGGAAGAAGGGGCACGGGGACGACGACGAGCAGAUGUUGAGAGGGGCGACGAUAGGAAGAGGUUCGAGCGAAGGAGAGACUUAGGGAUGACGACGACGAGAAGAUGAAAGGGGAUGGAGCGACAACAAGACGAGGAAGAGGUUCGGGGGUGCGACCUUUAGAAAGAGGUUCGGGGAGAAAAGGUUUCGUAUAUGUUGACUAGAACCGUUCAGGCUGGGAGACUGGCGGGCGCCUGUAUAGGCCUACGUAGGCACGUAUCAUUAGUCAGUGGGAAAUUUACAGGCGAAAGUAUCAGCCCGUAGAGUAAUUGUUUAGGAAUUCAGGUAUGUUAGUGUACGUAGCUUUUGAUAGAGAUGCUUUUAUGUAGAGCUAGGGUAAGUAUCGCAGCCCGAUGAAAUAGUACGUACGGUAGUCUCAUAGUUUUUAACUGUACAACAUGAUGUUGGUAUGCACUGUAGCCUGAUAAUUUUUAACUGUACAAGACAACCGUACAAGACGUAUGAUUAUUCGUUACCUCUUUAUAGUAGGUGAGAGCCUCCUUUUUUGUAGGUUCGGGUAGGCCGGUAGGACGGCGAGAGUUUCGAUGUGGUGGUGAGGUGACAAGUGAAACCACAGAAAAGCAGCGUGCACUUGAGGCUAAGGAUGUGCCCGGUACUGCUGGUCGAGGUGAGACCAGGAAUUUUUUCUCAAACUUUUG
rnacentral:rRNA from 1 species